AUUGAACGCUGGCGGCGUGCUUAACACAUGCAAGUCGAUCGGUAACAGGUGUAGCAAUACAUGCUGACGAGAGGCGGACGGGUGAGGAAUAUUUGGGAAUCUGCCCAUCAGCGGGGGACAACCCGGGGAAACCCGGGCUAAUACCGCAUACGCUCUACGGAGAAAAGCCGGGGACCGCAAGGCCUGGCACUGAUGGAUGAGCCCAAAUCGGAUUAGCUAGUUGGCGGGGUAACGGCCCACCAAGGCGACGAUCCGUAGCUGGUCUAAGAGGACGAUCAGCCACACCGGAACUGAGACACGGUCCGGACUCCUACGGGAGGCAGCAGUGGGGAAUAUUGGACAAUGGGGGAAACCCUGAUUCAGCGACGCCGCGUGGGUGAAGAAGGCCUGCGGGUUGUAAAGCCCUUUCGGUAGGGACGAAAGCUCUUGCUCCAACAAAGCAGGAGGUUGACUUAACCUACAUAAGAAGCACCGGCUAACUCUGUGCCAGCCGCCGCCGUAACAC
rnacentral:rRNA from 1 species